CGUGUUGGGGAACACAAAUCAAUAGAUUAAAAAUCGUGUUGGUGAACACGAAAUGCCGUGAGACUGGGUUGUAAUGUUUUGGUUUAUGAGUUCACCACACUGAUGUAGCCAGAAACAUUAGGAUGCUAAGUGAAUGGGAAAGUGUGUCUCAAACUUUUUACUGGAGCUGUAUGUAUUUAGGUUUACCACCACAUUAAGACUUGUUUUAUUCUGUGAAUGCACGUCCAGCUCCUCCACUGCAGUAUCAAAAAGGUUAUUGCGUUUAGACAGUAACCUUUCCCUAGCCUGUAAGCACAUGAGAACAGUCGCAGCUGCCUGUAAUGAAGGCAAACAGUGUAUCACAUUGUUUCCUGCAGCUUAAUCUGUGAUUCUUACAGAGGUGGUGGUGUGUGCAGCAGCAGCACAGGUAACGGUCCAAGACAGGAGAAAACAGGUUGGUAGAAAACGAGUUGUAAAGCAAAGUUAUUUAUAUUUACCUUUGCAAGACGACUAUGUGCCUUUUUCAAAAAUACACUACAUCUUGAUAUGGUUACAUUGUUUUGAUUGCAGUGGUAUAUGGAACUGGACAGUUCUGUUUUAAGGUUGUGGAGAGCAGUGUGAGGAGAGGUUGACACUGAGUGGUCCUGUGAGUCAGGAACAACUGGCUGGAAAUGAAUACUUGCACAUGGUCAAGGACCUUGCAGAGAUGAGGCAUGAUGGACUGGAAGGGUU